rnacentral:rRNA from 1 species
AAACUUUCAACAACGGAUCUCUUGGCUCUGGCAUCGAUGAAGAACGCAGCGAAAUGCGAUAAGUAAUGUGAAUUGCAGAAUUUAGUGAAUCAUCAAAUCUUUGAACGCACAUUGCGCCCCUUGGUAUUCCGAGGGGCAUGCCUGUUCGAGCGUCA